UACGGGGGGAGCAAGCGUUGUUCGGAUUUACUGGGCGUAAAGGGCGCGAUAGGCGGCCAGCGACAAGAUCAGUUGGUGAAAUCUCCGACGCUUAACUCGGAACGGUCAACUGAUACUGUGCGGCUAGAGUGCGGAAGGGGCAACUGGAAUUCUUGGUGUAGCGGUGAAAUGCGCAGAUAUCAGGAGGAACACCGGUGGCGAAGGCGGGU
rnacentral:rRNA from 1 species